rnacentral:rRNA from 1 species
UACGUAGGGGGCUAGCGUUGUCCGGAAUCAUUGGGCGUAAAGCGCGUGUAGGCGGUUCGGUAAGUCCGCUGUGAAAGUCGGGGGCUCAACCCUCGAAUGCCGGUGGAUACUGUCGGACUAGAGUACGGAAGAGGCGAGUGGAAUUCCUGGUGUAGCGGUGAAAUGCGCAGAUAUCAGGAGGAACACCAGUGGCGAAGGCGACUCUUUGGCCUGUAACUGACACUGAGGCGCGAAAGCGUGGGGAGCAAACAGG